rnacentral:misc_RNA from 1 species
UACGAAGGGUCCAAGCGUUAUCCGGAUUUAUUGGGUUUAAAGGGUGCGUAGGCGGCUUAUUAAGUCAGUGGUGAAAGACUUCAGCUUAACUGAAGAACUGCCAUUGAUACUGAUGGGCUUGAAUAUACUUGAGGUUGGCGGAAUGUGUCAUGUAGCGGUGAAAUGCUUAGAUAUGACACAGAACACCGAUUGCGAAGGCAGCUAGCUAAAGUAUGAUUGACGCUGAGGCACGAAAGCGUGGGGAGCAAACAGG